rnacentral:rRNA from 1 species
GGUGCUGAUGAGAUGAAGGCCACAACUGGGUAUAUGUUUACUCUUGGAGGUGGCGCUGUUUCCUGGAAGUCUUGCAAGCAAACGAUCUUAACGAGAUCGACAAUGGAAGCAGAAUUAACGGCAUUAGACACAUCUGGUGUUGAAGCGAGAUGGCUUCGAGAUCUUUUGAUGGACUUGCCAUUGGUUGAUAAACCGGUUCCGGCUAUCCUUAUGAACUGUGACAAUCAGACUGUCAUCACCAAGGUGAAGAGUUCAAAGGACAACAUGAAGUCCACCAAACACAUAAGAAUGAGAUUAAAAGCUGUCAGAAAAUUAAGAAACUCCGGAGUGAUAGCGUUGGACUAUGUCCAUACGGCUAAGAAU